GGAAGCGUGCCUGAACACUAAGGGUUACUUUGAUAGAGUAAAACAUAGGGAAUGAGCCCCCUCACUUCCU
rnacentral:tRNA from 1 species